GUAUGUUGGGGUUGUUUUGAACGGAGCAUGGAUGGUGUAGCGACAUGGUGCAAGUUUGGAUUUGUGCAAAAUGAGUGGACGAACACAUAUCGCAAUUGCGGUACAGGUGACGGCACGGUCAAAGGAAUGCGUUGUAUGUGAGGUGUAUGUACUAAACUGAAUGGAUGCGUGGCUACAUAAAGUUCUGGCUUAAUGAAUGGGAUAUCCUGGUUGAUCGUUUCGGGCUCUUUUGGAUCAUGAGACGGUGUUGUGAGGAAGAGCGAUAAGUGAUGGCAAAGACCUCUAGUGCAUAUGACAAACGUGACAGAGAACAGUCUGCAAAUCUGCAAGCCCAAAAACGACUUCGGCCAAGAAAGUAGAGAAACGCUACAAAAAUGUUGGUGAUAUUUGAGCAUCGCAGAAUGAUGAAAAAUCGAUAUGAAUAUCAGAUAUAUUGUACAUUUUAUCAAAAAUCACUUAAAUUCGGACAACGCCGUAACAGCUGCAUUUUGUCAGCAAGGGCAAAGCCAUUUGUUCCCUUUCACUCUCUAGUAACUAUGUCACUUUCCCUUCUAACAAAGUAGACCUACCAUACCAGGUAACGCGACUUCCAGGAAUUGUGCCGUUUUUUCUACUGCAGGAACACAAACAAGGAUGUCAAUCGAUUAAUGACCCGAAACGCGAUGCUACGCACAACUACGGCCCCAAGGAGUAACCCUUUACAUGUCCCAAAAUAAAAUACACCCUUGGCCUAUUCACAAUAACCAGUUCAAUGUUCAGUUUGUAGUAUAUUUGUACUACA